CUGGGCUUCGUUUACAAGUAACGGGUGUAACCUGUCUUGUUCUUUUGCAGUGUAUGAAGUGUCUGUGAGGGCCCCCAGUGAUGUGAAAUAAUAACUUCCCUCAAAUACGUCAAACCAAAACUAACAAGCCCAUUUUGAAAAUCAAACUACUGCAUCCAUGAGUUAUGGCAUGAAACUGAUCAGCAUGUUGCACCGCAGAGGUAUUAUUGAAGUCAUGGCUGCUUUCUCUGUGUGUUUUCUCUUGAAAAUACAACAAAGAUUCAGGUCGGUGGUCAAGUCAGAUGAGUUGCAUGGGUUAAUCAAGCAAAAUAUUAACAAUUUUUAGCACUGUGAGAAGGUGCCAGGUCCUACUGGAAAAGAGAUUCAGGAUCUCUAUAAAGCUUGUGAGCAGACUAAAGAAAUGCUCUGAAAUCUCUUGGUAGACGGUAUGGCACCCCAAAUCAUCACAGACAGCAAAAACUUCACACUGGACUUCACACACUUUAGAUUCUGUGCACUCUUCCUCCAUACUCUUGAACUUUGAUGUCCAAUGGACUUUGUAUCAAUGAGCAACAAUUCAAUUCUUUUUCUCCUUAGUCUAGGUAAGAUGCUUCUGACUUUGUCUCUGGCUCACGAGUGGUUUGAUGUUAGGGAUGCAAUAGUCAAAAGCUCCUUCCUUGAAGAUGGCUGUGGAUUGUGGCUCUUGAUACAGUGACCACUUAGCCCACUCUUUGUGAAACUCUCCAGAGUUCUUGAAAUAAUUUUUCUUGACAGACCGCUUAAAACUGCAGUCAUUCCUCUCGUUUCAUCACCUUCUUGCUUCAGCAUUCUGAAGGACAAAACACUUCACCUAGCAGUUAAGUUUUUUACUGCUGGAUUUUUAUUUAACCUUUAUUUAUACAGGUGGUCCUUUUGAGACCCAGUGUCUCAUUUACAAGAGAGACCUGUUUCAAACCAACAUAUUAAAAUAACAACAAUAAAAGAAACAGUAAAAAAUUAGAAAA